UGGGGCUGUUCCGGGUCCGUCCGGGUCCCGGAGCCGGCUCUGGACGCUCGCCCGUCCCUCUGUCCGUCCCUCGGUCUCUCGGUCCGCCCGCCCGCCGCCGCUCGUUCCGCUCGCUGCUUUUAUCCCCCGGUCCCCGUCCCGCCCCCGGGGAUUUCCGGGGCCGCGGGGACUUCGCGCCGGGACCCGCCGGGGCUCCCGGGGCUGCCCGGGAGGGCUCCGGCCUCUUCUGCUCCACCCCGGGGCAAUUUCUUGUCCCCCUGUCCCGGAAUGGGACAAUUUUCCUGUCCCUUAUCCCAGGAUGGGACAAUUCUCCUGCCCCUUAUCCCAGGAUGGGACAAUUUUCCUGUCCCUUAUCCCAGAAUGGGACAAUUUUCCUGUCCCCUCUCCAGGGGUGGGACAAUUUUCCUGUCCCUUUUCCCAGGAUGGGACAAUUUUCCUGUCCCUUUUCCCAGGAUGGGACAAUUUUCCUGUCCCUUUUCCCGGAAUGGGACAAUUUUCCUGNNNNNNNNNNCCAGAACGGGACAAUUUUCCUGUCCCCUCUCCCAGGAUGGGACAAUUUUCGUGUCCCUUAUCCCAGGUUGGGACAAUUUUCCUGUCCCUUAUCCCAGGUUGGGACAAUUUUCCUGCCCCUCUUUCCCUCCUGCCCCUCUGCCACGUCCCCCUUUGUCCCCUCCUUGUCACCUUUGGGGUCCCACCUCGUGCCCCCAAACCUGGGGUGGGGUUUCAGCUUUGAGUCCCCAAGCCCUGAUGUGCCACCACCAGCUCGUGACGGGGCUGUCACCCUCCUGUCACCCUCCUGUCACCCUCUUGUCACCCUCUUGUCACCCUGCAGAGGCCACCAUUGGUCGCCGGUGUCGCCGAGGCUGCGACUUCCUCUUUUUUUGGUCGCUUUUUGACAUCAGGGGAUUUUUGUCACCCCUGAUGUCGUGGGAACGUCCCCGAUGUCCCCUGCAGUGUCCCCAACUGCUCCAUCCCGGUGUUUUUUGCCUUUCCCUGGUGGUGCCACCUCUCCCUCGUGUCACCUCCGGGCCACCAGGGCCACCUUGCAGGGAGCAGCAAGGGCCGGUGACAAUGGUGACAAUGGU
rnacentral:lncRNA from 1 species